rnacentral:lncRNA from 1 species
UAUCGUUACAUUUCUAUAGUAACCGUAACUUAAGUAUUAAACAAAUAAAUAUAAAUAUAAAAAUAUACGGUAUAAUAAUUGAUGAAUAACUAGUAAAUAGCGCGACAUAACAUAAAAAUGCAAAGUUGGUGUGCUUCAUUAGUUAUUAAGGAUUCCUUACACCAGUGAUCAUUCCCAUGCGGGUGAGUGCAUACGUGUUUCGUUCUUCGUGUUGUUUCAGGUCACGUUUUUUCUUCAUGGUAUCAUUUCAUUUAACAAAUACUUCCAUGGAUGUGGGAGCUCUUGGGUUGGGUGGCUGUUGAGGAGUUUUUGCUUCUUUUCACUCAUGUGCAUUUCCAUGGCCUCAGCAAGGGUGGCAUGUUUUUCUUUCGCCAAGGAUCUAACUAUUUUCACUGCUUCCCAAUCUACCAAUAUGUCUUUUUCGUAGGCUGUGAGUGCUAAUGCUGUAGGGUUCUUUUUCUCUCUAAGUCCCUUCUAUGUUCUAUGAGUCUUUGGUUUAGCGAUCUCAUGGUGACCCCUAUAUAGACACUUUCUUCAUGGGUGGUAUUGUCUUUCACGGGUAUUUUAUAUACUCCCGCUUUUCGUUCAGGUUUCAUUUCAUCCUUCUCAUUACGCAGUUGAUUGUACAGUGUGGGGUACCUUCUGUAGGUAAUUUUUUUGUUCACUUUAUGUGCUGCUUUCUUGAUUGCUUUAGAUGCUUUCAUCGCAUAAGGUAUGGUUUCAUAUUCUGCGGCUUCUUUUGGCAUGGCGGUUUUGUUUGCGGUGUAAGGAAUCCUUAACAACUAAUGAAGCACACCAACUUUGCAUUUUUAUGUUAUGUCGCACUAUUUACUAG